rnacentral:rRNA from 1 species
AUUGAACGCUGGCGGCAGGCCUAACACAUGCAAGUCGAGCGGAUGAAGGGAGCUUGCUCCUGGAUUCAGCGGCGGACGGGUGAGUAAUGCCUAGGAAUCUGCCUGGUAGUGGGGGAUAACGUCCGGAAACGGGCGCUAAUACCGCAUACGUCUGAGGGAGAAGGCGGGGGAUUCUCGGGCCUCACGCUAUCAGAUGAGCCUAGGUCGGAUUAGCUAGUUGGUGGGGUAAAGGCCUACCAAGGCGACGAUCCGUAACUGGUCUGAGAGGAUGAUCAGUCACACUGGAACUGAGACACGGUCCAGACUCCUACGGGAGGCAGCAGUGGGGAAUAUUGGACAAUGGGCGAAAGCCUGAUCCAGCCAUGCCGCGUGUGUGAAGAAGGUCUUCGGAUUGUAAAGCACUUUAAGUUGGGAGGAAGGGCAGUAAGUUAAUACCUUGCUGUUUUGACGUUACCAACAGAAUAAGCACCGGCUAACUUCGUG